UACGUAGGGGGCAAGCGUUGUCCUGAUUCAUUGGGCGUAAAGCGCGUGUAGGCGGCCAGGUAGGUCCGACGUGAAAUCUGGAGGCUCAACCUCCAGCGGUCGUUGGAAACUACUCGGCUAGAGUCCGGAAGAGGAGAGUGGAAUUCCUGGUGUAGCGGUGAAAUGCGCAGAUAUCAGGAAGAACACCGAUGGCGAAAGCAGCUCUCUGGGACGGUACUGACGCUGAGGCGCGAAAGCGUGGGGAGCGAACAGG
rnacentral:rRNA from 1 species